CGACAUGGAGCGACGCACCCUGCUGAUUGUCCUGCUAGUGUGCAGCUUCCUGCUGCUUGGUGUCACCGCCGAGGCCUCGCCUUGGGGUAGUCGCCGCUUCGUGAGACCGCCGUUUGGGGGCAGACCACCAUUUGGCGGAUCAGGCUGUGUGUGUGUCACGACACCAUGUAAAUGUCCCUACUACGGCUAACCCGGCCAGCGAACACGGAAUCUGACAGUGCUCGCUCAGGCCACACGACACUCGCCAUGGAUGGAAAGCGCCGACUCUUGAUUCUUUGGAUGAAUUAAAAUUUAGUUUUGCACUUAGUGGUAAAUAAAGUAUUAGCAAUCCC